CCGUAGGGUGAACCUGCGGAAGGAUCAUUAUUGAAUUUAAUGUAGAGAUUUGGUUGUCUUCCGUAGGGUGAACCUGCGGAAGGAUCAUUAUUGAAUUUAAUGUAGAGAUUUGGUUGUAGCUGGCCCCUUCAAUUUAAUUUGUUGUUGGGCAUGUGCACACCUUUCUCUUUCAUCCACACACACCUGUGCACUUGUGAGACAGUUUGGAGGACUUUAUUGGACUCCCUUCUGUCUACUUAAUUUACACAAACUCAAUUUAAUUUAAACUGAAUGUAAUUGAUGUAACGCAUCUAAUACUAAGUUUCAACAACGGAUCUCUUGGCUCUCGCAUCGAUGAAGAACGCAGCGAAAUGCGAUAAGUAAUGUGAAUUGCAGAAUUCAGUGAAUCAUCGAAUCUUUGAACGCACCUUGCGCUCCUUGGUAUUCCUUGGAGCAUGCCUGUUUGAGUAUCAUGAAAUCUUCAAAGUAAAAUCUUUUGUUAACUCAAUUGGUUUCUUACUUUGGUAUUGGAGGUCUUUGCAGCUUCACACCUGCUCCUCUUUGUUUAUUAGCUGGAUCUCAGUGUUAUGCUUGGUUCCACUCGGCGUGAUAAGUUAUCUAUCGCUGAGGACACUGUAAAAGGUGGCCAAGGUAAAUGCAGAUGAACCGCUUCUAAUAGUCCAUUGACUUGGACAAUAAUUUUAUAUCGUCCGACUUUGAGUCAGGUAGGACUACCCGCUGAACUUAACCAUAUCA
rnacentral:rRNA from 1 species